rnacentral:rRNA from 1 species
AUUGAACGCUGGCGGCAUGCCUUACACAUGCAAGUCGAACGGUAACAGGUCUUCGGAUGCUGACGAGUGGCGAACGGGUGAGUAAUACAUCGGAACGUGCCUAGUAGUGGGGGAUAACUACUCGAAAGAGUGGCUAAUACCGCAUGAGAUCUACGGAGGAAAGCAGGGGAUCGCAAGAACUUCUGCUACAAGAGCGGCCGAUGGCAGAUUAGGUAGUUGGUGGGAUAAAAGCUUACCAAGCCGACGAUCUGUAGAUGGUCUGAGAGGACGAUCAGCCACACUGGGACUGAGACACGGCCCAGACUCCUACGGGAGGCAGCAGUGGGGAAUUUUGGACAAUGGGCGCAAGCCUGAUCCAGCAAUGCCGCGUGCAGGAUGAAGGCCUUCGGGUUGUAAACUGCUUUUGUACGGAACGAAAAGCCCCGGGUUAAUACCCUGGGGUCAUGACGGUACCGUAAGAAUAAGCACCGGCUAACUACGUGCCAGCCGCCGCCGUAA